rnacentral:rRNA from 1 species
GAGUUUGAUCCUGGCUCAGGAUGAACGCUGGCGGCGUGCUUAACACAUGCAAGUCGAACGAACCUUCGGGUUAGUGGCGGACGGGUGAGUAACGCGUGGGAAUCUGCCCUCAGGAGGGGGAUAACGGCUGGAAACGGCCGCUAAUACCCCAUAUGCCGAGAGGUGAAAUGAAUUUCGCCUGAGGAUGAGCCCGCGUCUGAUUAGCUAGUUGGUGAGGUAAGAGCUCACCAAGGCAUCGAUCAGUAGCUGGUCUGAGAGGAUGAUCAGCCACACUGGGACUGAGACACGGCCCAGACUCCUACGGGAGGCAGCAGUGGGGAAUUUUCCGCAAUGGGCGAAAGCCUGACGGAGCAACGCCGCGUGAGGGAUGAAGGCCUCUGGGCUGUAAACCUCUUUUCUCAAGGAAGAAGAUCUGACGGUACUUGAGGAAUAAGCCACGGCUAAUUCCGUGCCAGCAGCCGCGGUAAUACGGGAGUGGCAAGCGUUAUCCGGAAUUAUUGGGCGUAAAGCGUCCGCAGGCGGCCCUUUCAAGUCUGCUGUUAAAAAGUGGAGCUUAACUCCAUCAUGGCAGUGGAAACUGUUGGGCUUGAGUGUGGUAGGGGCAAAGGGAAUUCCCGGUGUAGCGGUGAAAUGCGUAGAUAUCGGGAAGAACACCAGUGGCGAAGGCGCCCUGCUGGGCCAUAACUGACGCUCAUGGACGAAAGCCAGGGGAGCGAAAGGGAUUAGAUACCCCUGUAGUCCUGGCCGUAAACGAUGAACACUAGGUGUCGGGGGAAUCGACCCCCUCGGUGUCGUAGCCAACGCGUUAAGUGUUCCGCCUGGGGAGUACGCACGCAAGUGUGAAACUCAAAGGAAUUGACGGGGGCCCGCACAAGCGGUGGAGUAUGUGGUUUAAUUCGAUGCAACGCGAAGAACCUUACCAGGGUUUGACAUCCUGCGAACCUCUUGGAAACGAGAGGGUGCCUUCGGGAACGCAGUGACAGGUGGUGCAUGGCUGUCGUCAGCUCGUGUCGUGAGAUGUUGAGUUAAGUCCCGCAACGAGCGCAACCCACGUCUUUAGUUGCCAGCAUUUAGUUGGGCACUCUAGAGAGACCGCCGGUGAUAAACCGGAGGAAGGUGUGGAUGACGUCAAGUCAUCAUGCCCCUUACAUCCUGGGCUACACACGUACUACAAUGCUACGGACAAAGAGCAGCAAGUUCGCGAGGACAAGCAAAUCUCAUAAACCGUGGCUCAGUUCAGAUCGUAGGCUGCAACUCGCCUACGUGAAGGAGGAAUCGCUAGUAAUCGCAGGUCAGCAUACUGCGGUGAAUACGUUCCCGGGCCUUGUACACACCGCCCGUCACACCAUGGAAGUUGGCCACGCCCGAAGCCGUUACUCCAACCCUCGGGAGGAGGACGUCGAAGGUGGGGCUGAUGACUGGGGUGAAGUCGUAACAAGGUAGCCGUA